CCUACGGGUGGCAGCAGUGGGGAAUUUUGGACAAUGGGCGAAAGCCUGAUCCAGCCAUGCCGCGUGCAGGAUGAAGGCCUUCGGGUUGUAAACUGCUUUUGUACGGAACGAAAAGACUCUUUCUAAUAAAGAGGGUCCAUGACGGUACCGUAAGAAUAAGCACCGGCUAACUACGUGCCAGCAGCCGCGGUAAUACGUAGGGUGCAAGCGUUAAUCGGAAUUACUGGGCGUAAAGCGUGCGCAGGCGGUUAUGUAAGACAGAUGUGAAAUCCCCGGGCUCAACCUGGGAACUGCAUUUGGGACUGCAUAGCUAGAGUACGGUAGAGGGGGAUGGAAUUCCGCGUGUAGCAGUGAAAUGCGUAGAUAUGCGGAGGAACACCGAUGGCGAAGGCAAUCCCCUGGACCUGUACUGACGCUCAUGCACGAAAGCGUGGGGAGCAAACAGGAUUAGAUACCCCGGUAGUCAUG
rnacentral:rRNA from 1 species